GGCUUGGGUGGGAAGUUGUGUGAGGGGCGAGGGGGGCUUGCUCUCUGGCGCCCUCUAAUGGCAACUCGAACAAUGUUUACUUUCGUAAUUCAGUCCGGGGGGAAGGCAGCUGGGUUUUUGUUGUUGCUGGAUUUUUUUUCCCCCUUCUCAGACUUUAAAAAACAACAACAAAAAAAACGAACUAGAGACUCUCAGCAAAUUGACUGUUUUCAACGUAUGAACUUAUGCAUGUGCCUUCAAAUCCUCCAUGUUUUCUCCCCGAACAUCCCUUCCUCUCCCAGAGUCUUGUUAGACUGAGGAGAGCUUCCUUCCCCGCAAAUUGAUUUAUGAAGGGUGGUCCACGCCCAGUUAGGAAUUCGGGCCCAGAGCUUCGUUUCCUACCUGAACAGCAUUCCGACUCUCGGAAUACACUCGAGAGGUGCGAGGAGGUGGAGUGGGAAGAGAUGAUUUGGAAAUUGCAGAUUCUGACACAGGCUCAUUAGAAUACAAUUUAAAGGGGGCUCUCAGGACCCUGUGCGGCUGCGACAUGUGGUGGUCAGGGGGGUUUCCUUCCCGCCUCCUUUUUCUUUUUUUCUUUCUCUUCUUUCUUUUCCUCAUUUUUUUUCUUUUUUAAAAAUUUGGUAGAUAAAGGUUAAUCUUGGGCUGAAUGGUAGAGCUCUGAUUGACAGGAGAAAAGGUGUCGAGGGCAGGUCGCGCUGUCUUAUUUACAGCCCACUGCUUGCUCAGAGUCUUUGUUAGGACUGGAAAGCUAAUUUAGUGCUGAUCAAAAGCACCACAGAGUUAAAGGACUGGUAAUGACUGCUAAUUUCAUUUCAGCCUCAUGCAAGCCCAACUGCUGUAAUUAAAGACACGCUAUUUAAAUACAGGUGAAGGGUUUUGUUUUUUUUUUAGGUUGGGGUGGGGGGUGAAUGGAUUACAAUUUUAUUUAGAUUUCUAAUAUUUGGGUGUUAUGUGCUCCGACAGCAGAUUUUUUUAUUAUUAUUAUUUACAGGUGCUUCUUGUCAUUUAUACCUGGCUUGGCAGAACUGGCAGUAUGAAAUGUGUCAGUCACACACACACACAAAGACCCUCCUAAGGAGGUAGGGGAGAAGGAUGCAGAGGAGAAACUAUUUAGGAGGCAUUUAAAUAUUUGGGUCUCUCUUUUUCCCCCUUGGAUUUAAUGGAAGGGCCUUCAAUAUAGCUAAAAGUAUUUGAAACUUGGGGCAGGGUGAACAGGCCAGAGAGAUCAGUGUCAGCUUUUAAAGUACUCUAAAAAAGAUCAUGUGAACAGACAGGAAAAUAUAUUUUAAUUAAAUAAUUUCCCCCACACUAGAGCUGCAGUAUUGGCUCAGAAACCUUGUAAUUUCUCAACUGAUAGGAGUUUCUUUAUGAGAACAUCAAAGGAUAAAAAGCUCUACAUUUUCGUAGUUGGUUAAAAUUGAUAACCACCCCCCAUACACACACGCACAUGCACACACACAACCCCCAAAAAGAAUUUAGCCUUUAAUCUCUUUUUAUCCACGAAGACUAAAGCUCUGUACUCGACCCCUUGAGCGUUUCUCGCCUUCCGGGGCUGGAACCCAGCUCAGAUGUGAAGCGGCGCUGAGCCGCCGCGCAGGUUCGUGCCCAGCGCCCCCUGUUGGACACAGUAGGCGCUGCGCAGCGCCAGUCCUGGAAAUCGCUAGAACCUGGCUCUGGGGUUACAGAAAACUCUUUAUUACCCUCCAGAAAGGAAAUAGGGCGCGGAAACAAGUUUUUAUAUCCUUAAAAGAUAUUUUAAUUCAAUAAACACUAAAAAGGAGAUAAUACACUUUUAAUGCAAUAAAAAUAAAAGACUCAUUCCUCCUGCUCUGCUCCCAGCCAGCCCCCACCCCCACCCCCACACACACCCUCACCCCCGUUUGGUUUUGGGAUUCCCUGGAAAGGUUCUUGGGACCCGACCGUAAAACAGGUAGAGAAACACGGCGAAAGACAAAACAGCAAAAAAAUCUUUCCCGAGGCCACGAAGAACCAAGCAAAACUACUUUCCCCGUUUUUUUCCGCACCCCACAAAAAAAAAAAUAGAAAGAAAAGAAAAAAGGAAGAGAAAGGGAACGAUGCACUGCUUGCUAUUUUGACGUUUGUCAGCAGCAUUUUGUGUUCUCUCGGAGGUCCUGGGUGUGUUGUAAAGAAGCCUCUGAGUAAACGAAGUAACUUGUUUCUAUUUGUGUAUUUAUGUCCAGGGGGCAACUGUCAGCGCAGCCACUUCUCUAAACGUUUCCCAUCCCCCAAAACAGUCUUGCCCAAACUUUUCCUUUCCUGUCAAGAGGCUGAAGCCCAGAUGCUGUCCACCUAACAGGUGCCUGACAUCUUGUCUUUUAUCUCGGCCUGGGAUCUCCGGGAAGAUCUGCCAGUGGUCAAAGAGCAUUUUCUUUGAAAUUCAGCAUCUCACUGACCAGGAAUCCAAAUUAUCCUAGGGAAAGGGUAGUAUUUUUUACACUUCUAAAAAACUACCUGCCUACAUAAGAAAGGGUUUUAACUUUCUUUGACCAGCAAGGGAAAGCAAAGGGUCCUUUGAAUUAUUUCAGAAAGAGAAACUAUUUUUUAAUGGAACAUUCCCUAAAUUUAAGACAAUGAGGAAAAGUGUGUUUCUUUAGUUGUUUCAAAUCAAACAGAAACAGUUCUGGUGAUAAAUGAACAAAGUGGGGAGUUCCAUCUUCGGGGAUAUGCUUCUGAUUUUAACUUUUAACCCUGAAAAGUUUAGGGCCUGCUUUUUUUUUUUUUUUUUAAGUUUGCUCAUUGACGGAAACUAGCCUAGUUUUUCAUAGCAGAAUGGCCUUUUUAAAAUCGUCAACGCUGUGGCAAUGAAAGCUUCCUGUUGUCUUGUGAGUGUCCUCCACCUCCCCUAAUUAGCGGCCCGAGGUUGCCUUUUUAGGGAAACUGCCGUCCAUGCGAUGAGACGCCUGCUCUCCGAUUCCAGAAUCGGAUCUCGGCUUGGGUAUUAACUAAGUAAAAAUCGUUAAUCUUGGAAAAGCAAAUUCACCACCAGGGGGGCGCACCAGCCACAUCCGUGAAACCAGCCGCGCUGAAAAGUCGGUGGCCGCCUUCUCCACAGCCUCUCAACCUUUUCCCUUUCCUAAUCUCCAGAGAUCCAUGUUUAGCUUAAUAUAACACCCCGAUUAAACGGGAAACAUUGCUUUAUUUCGAAAAAUAUUGAAUAUUUGCGUGCUUGGAGAACAUAAAUCUCACCCUCCCCGGGUUCCCAAAAUCUAAAGCAAACCAUAACCUAAGAGCAAAGGGAGAGCCUGCAGGGGGGAGGGAAGGUCGAUUGGAGAUAAUUUAUAAUUAGGAAAAGUCUGCAGGAUUCUUUUUCACAACUUUUCCAGGUCUCCACUGGGCAUCCUCAGGUUGAACUGGACAAUAACGGACGGCCUGGGAGGGCAGGAACUGGAGGGGGGGGGCGUGAUGGUGGGAAGGUUAGGAGCAAACAAAACAAUGCAGUUUGUAAAGAUAAUAAAUGGAACGUGGCCGGUGGAUACUAUUCAGCCCAUUUUCUUAGGGUAAGGGGAGACCAGGGGAGGAGGGGGCGGAGAGAGUGUUACAGAAGAAAGAAAAUAAGUAACUCCGGUGGUUUAAGCCCUUUCUAAAAAAGAAAUGGCAUCAGGUUUUUUUUCUCUCCCCACCCCCCUUUGUAGUCAAGUGCAUUUUAGCCACAAAGAUCCCAACAAGAGAGUGGAAGGAAACUUAGACGGGGCUUUGUUUGACUCCGUGUAGCGACAACAAGAGAAACAAAACUACCUAUUUGUAACGGACGUGGUACCAUUGCUCUGCGCUUUGAGCGCCUACCUAUUGAAAUCUUUAAGUCGGGACAAUGGGAGAGCGGCUAAAAUUACCCUCUUGGGUCCUGGGCGGGCGAGAUUCCUGCGGCCCUGCCCCGCC
ensembl:lncRNA